CGACGAACGUCGUCGUCUCGCCGGAAAAAAAAAAACCGCGCGCACGCCUUCGACGGUUCCGCCGCCGCCUCGCGCAGCCCUAACGCGAGGCCCCCUCCCCCUCGCCCUCCUCUCCGCCAGGGCGCGAGCCGCGGGAGGGACUCCUGCGCCGCCACCGCCACCACGACGGCGCCCCACUCCUCGCCGGCUACACCUCCUCCACGCCGCCGAACCGCCCCCACCGCCGUCCUCGCCGCCGUUGCCAUCCUCGCGGGGCCAUCCCCGCCCCCACCGCGGAUCCACAACGCGCGGCGCGCUCGGCCGUCGCUCCUGUCGCCGUCCUCGCAGCGCCCGACCCACCCCAGCCACGGAUCCGCCACGCGCGGCGCGUGCGGCCGCCGUCCCCGCCACGGAUCCCCACGCUCGCUCGCCAUGCUGCCGUGCCGCCCGCCGCCACGCCGCCGUCCCCGACGCCCCACCGCGGCGGCCGCCCUACCCGCUCCGGAUCCCGCACGCCCGCAUGACUCUGGACGAUUUCUACGGGUUCCCCCUUCCCCAACUUCCACCUCUGGCGGCCCUGCCUCGUAAUCUCUUCCUCCUUAAUCUGAUGGCCUGAUGGGGAAUGGGAUUCCACUGAUUUGAGAUGAACGGCACGCCGCCGUCCUGAUCUUCCUCCCGCGGGCGCCGUCCGGGCGACGGCGGAUUCUCUAUCAACACCAUGGUGCCAUAAACGCCCGAGCUGACACCCACGGACGGCCUGUCAGAUGCCGGAUCUACCUCGUGGAGUCGAUCUUUUUUUUAUAUAUAUAGAUUCAUAUUUCCUCUCAUGGCUAGCUGAUAGGGAACUGCAGCGGUCCUGCAUUCAGGUACCUUGUCCUCUGUUUACUCUGUUGAUCGAUUCCCCAUUCCAAUUUGACCUAUGACCUGACGGACAGACUACCAUCACCAUCAUCUUGCAAUUGAUGGUUACUCAAUCAGCCAACAAACUGAUGGGCAGCUAAUGCCAUGUCUGUGGAUUAAAAAUUCAGGCUUUCUUCGUAGCACAUAAUUGGCAGCUAAUGCAACCAAUUUACCAUACCUGCUGGUAUGAUGUUGUCUGAUAUCUCCCGGCAGCAGAAGCACAGCAGCAGGAAAAUUCCUGUGCGAGGUCAAAUGCACUCUGGGCAUUAUUAUGGAUGUGCUCGCAGAAAAGGAGAGAAAGGAGUAGAGGGAUUUGCCAAGGGAGUCAGUAAUGAAAUCUCUGUAAUCAUCAUACAGGUAUUGAUUCCUAAAGUGAAGACUGCCAGGUCAUGACAAAAAUACUGCUCUAACAAAUUUUCAGAAUUACUUCUCUAAUAUCAUCGUGCAUAUUACUUACUAUUUAAAAAUUACUUCUUUGAACCACAAUAAUGCCAAACCAUGAUAAAGACAAAUGUACUAAUUUUGAAUAUUACUUCUUUAAAUUUGAAAAUACUACUCGUUAACUAUACUUCUCAGAAUAACUAUAAUUCUUACAAAAAAAAUAAAAUUACUUUUGGCUAAUAAUGAUGCAUACCCAGAUGUCAAGCCAUUAUUCUUUGUAUAGGUUGUUCUGAUUAUUUUACAUGGUAUCAUCUCACAAUGACAUGAAAAUUUAUGUUUUUUCAUGGUGCGUGCAGAUUGUAGACUGAUCUUAUUCAAUUCCUUUCUGGUUGUUUUAAGGCUAAAUCUCUCAAAUUGCUUAGCAAUGGUAGGCACAAAAUUAUUUGUGGCCGGUAGUGGCCGAUGGUCCAGCUAGGCAUAUAUCUGAACACUGACCCUGAUCAGUGAAACCGAUUGGUGCAUCUGGUUUCUGCUUCAAAAUAUUACAUUUGUAGUAGUCUGAGCUCUUGUUUCUAAUGGCCUGUUAGUAACCUUGCUCAGCUUCUGUUGACUAGAAUGUUGCAUGGACAGAUGCAUGCUAGAGUUGAAGGCAGAAACAAAAAUUGAAUAAGGUGAGGAUGUCACGUUGAGUGAGCUGGAAUUGUAGUAUUAUUCUCAUAUCAUUAUAAAAAUACUGCUCUAAAUUUUGAAAAAUUUCUUUAUAUUUGAAAAUGACUUCCUUGAACAAUAGUUAUGCCAAACCACUAUAACAAUAAUGCUUUAACAUUUGAACCCUGCUCCUGUGCUUACUUGGGUGUUGCAGGUGCAAACAAAAAAGGUUUUGAAUAUGAUAUUUAGUGCUCGUGGUAUUGGCUUGGAAAUGCUCCAGUAAGAGAAACAUCAUGACUAUAUCUUUUUAAAGGACAUCAUGAGUAUAUUGCUUGGCUGCUUGAUGCCAGCAAUUGUUUGGUUUGCUUUACUUGUGCAGAUGGCUAAAAUUUAGUGAACGUCACAGUUGGUCUUUACUUUGUUGUGGGUGUCCUUAUAGUUCAAGAGUUUCAUAUUAGAUUUCUUGAACCUCUUUAGAAAAAAGUUGUCCAUGGUAAUUCUUUCAUGUAAAUGUAUCUUAUGGUUGAUGCCAUGGUAACUUGUAACUGAAAGAUGGUGUUAAUUUCAAGCAUUUUUAUGAUCUGAGGACAGAUGUUUCUUUUGUAGAACAAAUUCAGAACUAUGGUGAAAUGAACUGAAAGAGUAGUUCUG